AUGGGAACCGGAGAGGGAACGGGAGCGGGGAGUGAGAGCGGGGAUGGGAACGGGAAUAGGAACGGGGAGCGGGAGGGGGAACGGGAGCGGGAAUGGGGAAAGGGGAGCGGGAGAGGGAACCGGACUGGGAGCGGGAACGGGAGCGGGAAUGGGGAGCGGGAGCAGGAAAGGAACAGGAGUGGGAGCGAGAAUGGGAAUGGAACCGGAGAGGGAACGGGAGAGGGAAUGGGAACCGGAGCGGGCACUGCGGGACCGGAGGCGGCGGGGAGGGAACGGGGGCGGGACGGCGGCACCACGAACCUGGAGCUGCCCAGUGCGAACGGGAACGGGAGCGAGGGAGGCGCGGCUGGGAAUGGGAAUGGGAAUGGGAGCGGGAACGAGGGGGCGGCACCGGGAGCGGGGCAGGGCUGGAGCCGGCAGCGGCGGCACCGGGAAUAUGGGGAGGGCCGGUGCCGGUACCGGAGCGGGCGCGGCGGGGCCGCCUCUCGCUCAGCCGCUGCUUUCCCGUUCCUUCGCAGAGUCCUUCGGCCAGAACUACCCCGAGGAGGCGGACGGGACCCUGGACUGUAUCAGCAUGGCUCUGACGUGCACCUUCAACCGCUGGGGCACGCUGCUGGCCGUGGGCUGCAACGACGGGCGCAUCGUCAUCUGGGACUUCCUGACGCGCGGCAUCGCCAAGAUCAUCAGCGCCCACAUCCACCCCGUGUGCUCCCUCUGGUGAGCUGGGAUCCCAAAAUUCCCUAAAAUCCCAAAAACCCACAUCCCAGCAAUCCCACAUCCACCCCGUGUGCUCCCUCUGGUGAGCUGGGAUCCCAAAUUCCCAGCAAUCCCAAAAACCCACAUCCCAGCAAUCCCACAUUCAUCCUGUCUGCUCCCUCUGGUGAGCUGGGAUCCCUGAAUUCCCUAAAAUCCCACAUCCAUCCCAUCUGCUCCCUCUGGUGAGCUGGAAAUCCCAAAAUUCCCUAAAAUCCCACAUCCACCCCGUGUGCUCCCUCUGGUGAGCAGGAAUCCCUGAAUUCCCUAAAAUCCCAAAAACUCACAUCCCAGCAAUGCCACAUCCACCCCGUGUGCUCCCUCUGGUGAACUGUGGGAAUCUGCUGGAAUCCCCAUGGAAUUCUCCUGGAAUCCCCAUGGAGUCCCCAGCUCCUUUUCUCCCUGGCUGCAUUUGAGCUUUUUAAGGAAUAACUUUAUUGGGAAUUCCCUGAGUUCCUUUUCCCCCUGGCUGUGUUUGAUUCCUGUAAGGAAUAACUGAGCUCCUUUCCCUCCUG
rnacentral:lncRNA from 1 species